AGCGAACGCUGGCGGCAGGCUUAACACAUGCAAGUCGAGCGGGCGUAGCAAUACGUCAGCGGCAGACGGGUGAGUAACGCGUGGGAACGUACCUUUUGGUUCGGAACAACACAGGGAAACUUGUGCUAAUACCGGAUAAGCCCUUACGGGGAAAGAUUUAUCGCCGAAAGAUCGGCCCGCGUCUGAUUAGCUAGUUGGUGAGGUAACGGCUCACCAAGGCGACGAUCAGUAGCUGGUCUGAGAGGAUGAUCAGCCACAUUGGGACUGAGACACGGCCCAAACUCCUACGGGAGGCAGCAGUGGGGAAUAUUGGACAAUGGGCGCAAGCCUGAUCCAGCCAUGCCGCGUGAGUGAUGAAGGCCCUAGGGUUGUAAAGCUCUUUUGUGCGGGAAGAUAAUGACGGUACCGCAAGAAUGAGCCCCGGCUAACUUCGUGCCAGCAGCCGCGU
rnacentral:rRNA from 1 species